AUUGAACGCUGGCGGCAGGCCUAACCCAUGCAAGUCGAACGGAGCGGCGGACGGGUGAGUAAUGCAUAGGAACCUGCCCGGUAGCGGGGGAUAACGUCGGGAAACAGGCGCUAAUACCGCAUACUAACAGAUGAGCAUAGUUCGGAUUAGCUAGUUGGUGGGGUACAGGCCCACCAAGGCGACGAGCCGUAACUGGUCUGCGAGGAGGAUCAGUCACGUUGGAAGUGAGACAUGGUCCAGACUCCUCCUGGAGGAAGCAUUGGGGAAGUGUGGAAAAUGGGCGAGAGCAUGAUCCAGCCAUUCCGCGUGUGUGACGAAGGUCCUCGGGUUGUAAAGCACUUUAGGUUGGACGGCGUUACCUACAGAAUAAUCACCGGCUAACUUCGUGCCAGCAGCCGCGGUAAGAC
rnacentral:rRNA from 1 species